AAUGCGCAAUGAAGAGCUGAUCUAUGACAUCUAAGCAUGUAGCAAUCCGGAAUGUACUCUGCAGUGCAGGAAACCAUCUGCUCAAUAGAAUGUUGGCCGGUACAUGUAGACAACAUAUUUCCAUUGUGGAGAAGAUUGUACAAGACAGUCAUCAAUAAAUGCAAAAUAAAAUUCAGGACAAAAAUACUCUUUAUGCAGUAAGUGCCGCUAUCCUCCUUUAUGUCAUUCAUGAGAUAUUGUCCUAGUUCCUUUCUUGAGUCAAUUGCUACUCUCCAUCACAUCUGAACAUGAAGAUAUACUCCCUUGAUUGACGACACCAAGAAGGGCCUUGAGUUUGAAACAUUAUGAUGAUGGCUCUCCAUUUCUCCGUUAAGAGAAUGCCUCUAUUGCAUACAACACAAUUCCUGUAUCAACUGUAGGCCAUAAUCAGAGAAGGUGAUUCUUGUUAUUGUUGUUGUAUAGUUUCAGGUAGAGGCUUUAGCUCUGAGGCACGGCUGGAAGCGCCCUUCCAAUUUAUUACUUCUUUCCUGAUCUCCGGUAACUUGUGAAGCAGGAGGUAACCCAUGAAGCUGAGUAGUAAUGUCUAACCUGACCCAAAGCCCAAAUAAACCUUUACAGUGAGCAGAUCCUUCAUACUCUAUAUCUGAAGUCAAUUAUAGAGCCCCAAUAAUCGAAAAUUAGGAGAGACUGGUUAAUGCAGCAGGAACUAAAGUUGAAUCUGGAAACUUCUAAUCUGUUAGAUUGAGUAAUUCACUGUCUUUACCAUCAGAAAACUUGUUUAUUUUUAAUUGGGCCAAUGCAAAAUGUAAGCUUGUGAUGUUGGUUCCUAUGUUGAUGGUGCAGUAUGCAGCUACUGCUUC